UACUCCUACGGGAGGCAGCAGUGGGGAAUAUUGGACAAUGGGCGCAAGCCUGAUCCAGCCAUGCCGCGUGUGUGAAGAAGGCCUUUUGGUUGUAAAGCACUUUAAGCGAGGAGGAGGCUACUUGGAUUAAUACUCUAGGAUAGUGGACGUUACUCGCAGAAUAAGCACCGGCUAACUCUGUGCCAGCAGCCGCGGUAAU
rnacentral:rRNA from 1 species